GCAAAACGCGAAGAACCUUACCAGGGCUUAAAUGUAGUCUGACAGGCGUGGAAACAUGCUUUUCUUCGGACAGAUUACAAGGUGCUGCAUGGUUGUCGUCAGCUCGUGCCGUGAGGUGUCAGGUUAAGUCCUAUAACGAGCGCAACCCCUGUUGUUAGUUGCCAGCAAGUAAUGUCGGGAACUCUAGCAAGACUGUCGGUGCAAACCGCGAGGAAGGUGGGGAUGACGUCAAAUCAUCACGGCCCUUACGUCCUGGGCCACACACGUGCUACAAUGGCCAGUACAGAGAGCAGCCACUUGGCGACAAGGAGCGAAUCUAUAAAGCUGGUCACAGUUCGGAUUGGAGUCUGCAACUCGACUCUAUGAAGCUGGAAUCGCUAGUAAUCGGAUAUCAGCCAUGAUCCGGUGAAUACGUUCCCGGGUCUUGUACACACCG
rnacentral:rRNA from 1 species